GUUGAAACACCUGGUCUCCUACGAACUUGGAAGUUAAGCAAUGCCGAGUUUGCUCAGUAUGUAGAUGGGUUACCGCCUGGGAGUACUAAGUCCUGUA